AUCGGUAGACGCUACGGACUUAAUUGGUUUGAGCCUCGACUUUAUAAAUCGUGAGGGUUCAAGUCCCUCUAUCCCCAAAAAAGAU
rnacentral:tRNA from 2 species